GGCAGUGUGGUGUAGUGGUUUGAGUGUUUGCUCAGAAUGCUAGAGAUCAGGGUUCAAAUCCCUAUUCAGCCA